rnacentral:lncRNA from 1 species
GGAGGAGGAGAGAAUGAGAAGCAGCAGCACUUUUUCUUUCUUUCUUUUUCUUUUUUUGCUUGUUUGUUUUUAAAAGAAGCAUUUUUUAAAAUAUUUUUUAAAUUGUAGAUCCACAGGAGUGUGCUACCACUGAGCCACAACUCCAGCCCUAAAAGAAGCACUUUUAUUUGGAGAAGCAAACAUUCACCUAGCAUUGCACUAUGGGAAAAUUAGAUUUCCUAGGUCCUCGUGUAAGGAUUUGGGGUAAACUUCUCAGAGAUGUCUUCCGGUGUGUUUUUGCAGGAGCAAAAAUGGUCUGGGUCUUACUACGAAAGCAUAAAUCAGUUAUGGAGAAGAGUUAAUUAAUAAGUAAGCUCCCCCAUCAGUGUGAUUCCACGCCACAUUGAUUUUUAACUUUGAUUCAGGGAGGAGAGGUGGUAGCUCAUCAUGACUGGAUUUCCAGAAAGAUGGAUUUUAGAGACCUUGCCAACACAGGCACCACAAACCAGCCAGCUUGAGCAAGCCCCCAGAAAAACCCCCAGACCUUUUCCCCCUGGUUGCUCAAUACUGUAUUUGCCCCUAUGUGAGUCUGUCAAGAGAGAAAGUGAAAAUAACCAGGAGUGUCUUGGCCAAGGGCGACAUAAACAUUAGCACUGACUUCAGGGGCUGAGCAGGAGCUUCAGUUUUUGGAAAUUCCCCGUGUGCACAAUUUGGCAUUUCCACCUGGAGCGUGGUCCUGCUGGGAACAGUGGAAGACAGCCAGACCAGGCAUUUGGUAAGAGUCAUCCCUGCUCAAAGUCAAUAAUCCUGGUCCUGAGCUAGCUGGCCCAGUUCCAACAUUUAACUUUGUGUAUAAAGAUUUUUCUAGCACACUUUGACUGGGAGAUGCAAUUAGCUUGUUUUUCCUGCCUUCUCUCAUCUGGUUGUUUUGCAACAAGCUGCAAACAUCUGCAUUGCAUUGCCUAUGGAGAAUAUUUAGCAGCGCAGUAACCCCUAUCACUCCUGCACGUUAUUUCCAGGAGAGCUUCUACAUUCUCUGGAUUGAUAACCAAUGCCUCUUACAAAGGAGAGGGUAGUGAAUUAAAUGCAGACAUCGUAUCUCCUGCUCUGGCCUUCUUAAUGAGACAGUUUUCUCACGGAGCCUUUGUCUAGCUUUGGUGUGAGAUAAUGUUGGAAUGAAUUGGGAACAGCUCUGUGAUGGAUUCUUUUCAGCUCUGUGUCCUUUGGAUGGCACAGGUUCCCUCCUAGGGUGCCAAGUAAAUGGCAGGGAAGAUGAGCAACAGUCUGAGACAGAGUACUUUUAUGGUCAACAGAGGGGCAUGAAUUGGCAUUGGGAAGCAGGGGCUGGGGCUGUCCCCUUGCUUUCAGAGUCGAGUCAAGUCAAAUGAUAGGAAGUGAGCUCCCUAAAUCCACCCCCCGUUUAUUAAACUGGUGCAUUCAGAGAUGCCCCUGCACUUCUGAGCAUAGCACCCGUGGGGUUUUCCCUGUCUGCGUAAGGAAAGUGAGUCACCUCUCUGGUUAAUUUCUCUUUCUGACUCCUGGCUCUAAGUCUUGACUUUGCCUUAAAAAAUAUAUCGGAAAUGGGUAUCAUUUAGCUGAGCUACUUACAGGGAACCAAAUAUCUCUGUAGCUCUUCCUUAUAUGGUACUUACUGUGUCCCAGUCUCUCUUCUAAGGACUUUCUAUGCAUUUACUCAUUUGAUCUCAUAAAGGUUCUAUGAGUUGAAGGAUGUUGUUUUCCUCAUCUAUAGAUGAGGAAACUUGUGAACAGAGAGACUUAAUAACUUGUCCAAGGUUGCACAGUGGUGGGGAGGUCUGUAAGACCUCCAACUUUGCUCUUUCAAGAUUGUUUUGGCUGUUAAGAGUCCCUUGAGAUUCCAUAUGAAUUUUAGGAUAGGUUUUCCUAUUUCUGUGAAAACCAUAAUUGGGCAUUUUGAAAGGGAUUGCUCUGAAUCUGUAGAUCACUUGGGUAAUACUGGCAUCUUAACAAUAUAAAAUCUUCCAACGAAUGAACAGAGGAUGCCUUUCCAUUUAAUGGUAUCUUAUUUAAUUCAUUUCAGUAAUAUCUUGGUCGUUUUCAGUAUACAAGUGACUUUCUCAAUUAAAUUAAUUCCUGAGUAUUUUAUUCUUUUUGCUAAAUCAAAUUGCUUUCUUAAUUUCCUUUCUGGACUGUUCCUUAGUCAUGAGUAGAAAUGCAACUGAUUUUGGGUGUUGUGUGUGUAUCUUAGACCUUAACUGGAUUCAUUUAUUAAUUCUAACUUUUUUUGUGUGAAAUCUUCAGGGUUUCCUACAUAUAUUAUCAUGUCAACUAUGAACAGAGAUAAAAUUUUUCUUCUUCCUUUCCAAUUUGAAUGCCUUUUAUUUCCUUUUCUUGCCUAAUUACUCUAUCUAAUAUCUCCAGUAUAUAUUUUUUUAAUCUGUUGUUGAAUUCAAUUUGCAAGUAUUUUGUUGAGGACUUUUGCAUCAAAAUUCAUCAGGAAUAUGAGUAUAUAGUUUUCUUAUAAGGUCUUUGUCUAGCUUUGGUAUGAGGUAAUGCUGGCCUCAAAGAAUACAGUGGGAAAUGUUCCCUUCUCUUUGAUUUUUAAUAAAGACUUUGGGAAGAAUUGGUGUUCAUUCUUCUUUAAAUCUUCAGUAAAAUUCACCAGUGAAAGCAUUUGGUUCUGUGCUUUUCUUUUUUGGUAAUUUUUUUUUAAAUUAUUGAUUCAACCUCCUUAUAAUGACUAUAGGUCUGUUUUGGUUUUCUAUAUCUUUUUGAUUUAGUCUUAGUAGGGUGCACGUUUCUAGGAAUUUGUUCAUUUUGAGGUUAUCCAAUUUGCUGGUAUAUCAUUGUGCAUAUUGAUUGAUUGAUUGAAUAAAUGAACCCAGGGCCUCCUGCAUGCUGAGCAGGUGCUUUACCCCUGAACUCUACCCCUAGUCCAGUACUUUUUAAUAAUUAUUUUU